CCUACGGGGGGCAGCAGUGGGGAAUAUUGCGCAAUGGGCGAAAGCCUGACGCAGCGACGCCGCGUGAGGGAUGAAGGUCUUCGGAGCGUAAACCUCUGUCAGCAGGGAAGAACGGUCACUGUGCUAAUCAGCAGUGAAUUGACGGUACCUGCAAAGGAAGCACCGGCUAACUCCGUGCCAGCAGCCGCGGUAAUACGGAGGGUGCGAGCGUUAAUCGGAAUUACUGGGCGUAAAGCGCUCGUAGGCGGUAUGUCAAGUCAAGGGUGAAAUCCCCGCGCUCAACGUGGGAACUGCCUUUGAAACUGGCAGACUGGAGUGUGUGAGAGGAUAGUGGAAUUCAAGGUGGAGGAGUGAAAUCCGUAGAUAUCUGGAGGAACAUCAGUGGCGAAGGCGACUAUCUGGCACAUAACUGACGCUGAGGAGCGAAAGCGUGGGUAGCAAACAGGAUUAGAUACCCUUGUAGUC
rnacentral:rRNA from 1 species